ACACGUAAGGGGCAAGCGUUGUUCGGAAUUAUUGGGCGUAAAGGGCGCGUAGGCGGUUUUACAAGUCUGGUGUGUAAGAUCUCAGCUUAACUGAGGGACCGCGCUGGAAACUGUAAGACUAGAAUCUAGGAGGGGAAGCUGGAAUUCCUGGUGUAGGGGUGAAAUCUGUAGAUAUCAGGAAGAACACCGGUGGCGAAGGCGAGCUUCUGGCCAUAGAUUGACGCUGAGGCGCGAAAGCGUGGGGAGCGAACAGGAUUAGAAACCCGGGUAGUCC
rnacentral:rRNA from 1 species